rnacentral:rRNA from 1 species
GACGAACGCUGGCGGCGUGCUUAACACAUGCAAGUCGAACGGAAAGGCCCCUUUGGGGGUACUCGAGUGGCGAACGGGUGAGUAACACGUGAGUAACCUGCCCUUGACUUCGGGAUAACUUCAGGAAACUGGGGCUAAUACCGGAUAGGAAUCCUUGCUGCAUGGUGGGGGUUGGAAAGCUUCGGCGGUUUUGGAUGGACUCGCGGCUUAUCAGCUUGUUGGUGGGGUAGUGGCUUACCAAGGCUUUGACGGGUAGCCGGCCUGAGAGGGCGACCGGCCACAUUGGGACUGAGAUACGGCCCAGACUCCUACGGGAGGCAGCAGUGGGGAAUAUUGCACAAUGGGCGGACGCCUGAUGCAGCAACGCCGCGUGCGGGAUGACGGCCUUCGGGUUGUAAACCGCUUUCAGCAGGGGCGAAGCUUGUGGUGACGGUACCUGCAGAAGAAGCACCGGCUAACUACGUG